rnacentral:rRNA from 1 species
UAGGGAAUAUUGCACAAUGGAGGAAACUCUGAUGCAGCGACGCCGCGUGGGUGAUGAAGGAUUUCGGUUCGUAAAGCCCUUUUGUCAGGGAAUAAAAAAAUGAAUGUACCUGAAGAAUAAGCACCGGCUAACUUCGUGCCAGCAGCCGCGGUAAUACGAAGGGUGCAAGCGUUGCUCGGAAUUAUUGGGCGUAAAGCGAGCGCGGGUGGUCUCUUAAGUCAGGAGUGAAAGCCCUGGGCUCAACCCAGGAAGUGCUUUUGAUACUGGGAGACUUGAAUGUGGGAGAGGGUGCUAGAAUACCUAGUGUAGUGGUGAAAUACGUAGAUAUUAGGUGGAACACCGGUGGGGAAGCCGGGUACCUGGCCCAACAUUGACACUUAGGCUCGAAAGCGUGGGGAUCAAA